rnacentral:lncRNA from 1 species
CUUUGUUCUGGGACACAGUUGAGUUGUUUAAAAACAGUUUGAUCCUUUCAAGUCUUGCUUUAAAGAUUUGUUAGACAGGGCCAGAAAAAUGUAGUCUAGAGAUAAUUAUUUCCCACUGUGAAGGGAAGACCCUUCUGAAUAAUCUACUCAGUAUCCUGUGAAUUGUGAAGAUUUCCAGUCUGGCUGGUAGAAGCAGGCAUUACUAUCAGCCUGGUGUGAGUGCAGAAACGAGUAAUGUGAGAGCCUGCAAUUGUAAUCUUCAUAAAGUAUAUCACAUACCGUUCAAAAACAUCAAGUGGCAUGUUAAAUAAGCUUUUGGAGAAUAAGUUGAGCGUGACACCACAAGAAGAAAAACAGAAUCCAUGACUUCUCAAAACAUGAUCUUGCUUCAGAUGAGAAAGCUCUGUGCUUAGUUUGCUGUGUGCCAAAAGGAUUUAUCAAGAAGGGGAUGACGGAGGUUGCUCUUCCAAAAGCGUCCAGAGUCACUGAGACCUGACCUGUGUAUUUUGUAUCCUAUCCAUGUCAGGUAAGGAAUACAUUAUUUAAGUCCAUCUUCUUGGGAGAGGGAGAUGAGAGCUGGAGAGUUGGGGGCUAAUGUCCAAUCAAAAUGGAAAAGAAAAAGUGUUUGUGGCUAAAGGAAGCAUCCAGAAGACAUAGCAAGGAUCACUCUGUUCCCUUGUAUCAGAGCUUUGCUUUCCGUUUGUCUCCAAAAUUCAGGAGUUGGAAACAAGCCUGAGGGUGUGAUGUUCUCGGAACCUCUAGGAACAGCUUUAGCUCCAGACACCUUUUGCAGUUCCCACAUUAACAAUCCUUCUCUUCUUGCUGAUGAGAAGUGGUUGAAACACUUCUUGGACAAGCAGUUGCAUGGGGUAUAUUUACCUUUUCCAACAAACACAAAGGCUGUACCUCUCCUACAUAAAUGUGUGAGCAGCACAAACAUAUGACACAGUGCUGUGUGCCGAAAUCAGUUUAAAGGAUUAGAGAAUGGACCAUAGUCCAAAUUGGCCAUUAUGCUGC